UACGUGGGGUGCAAGCGUUGUCCGGAAUUAUUGGGCGUAAAGAGCUCGUAGGCGGUUUGUCGCGUCUGCUGUGAAAAUCCAGGGCUUAACCCUGGACCUGCAGUGGGUACGGGCAGACUAGAGUGCGGUAGGGGAGAUCGGAAUUCCUGGUGUAGCGGUGAAAUGCGCAGAUAUCAGGAGGAACACCGGUGGCGAAGGCGGAUCUCUGGGCCGUAACUGACGCUGAGGAGCGAAAGCAUGGGGAGCGAACAGG
rnacentral:rRNA from 1 species